GAUGAACGCUGGCGGCGUGCCUAAUACAUGCAAGUCGAGCGAACAGAUGAGGAGCUUGCUCCUCUGACGUUAGCGGCGGACGGGUGAGUAACACGUGGAUAACCUACCUAUAAGACUGGGAUAACUUCGGGAAACCGGAGCUAAUACCGGAUAAUAUAUUGAACCGCAUGGUUCAAUAGUGAAAGACGGUUUUGCUGUCACUUAUAGAUGGAUCCGCGCCGCAUUAGCUAGUUGGUAAGGUAACGGCUUACCAAGGCAACGAUGCGUAGCCGACCUGAGAGGGUGAUCGGCCACACUGGAACUGAGACACGGUCCAGACUCCUACGGGAGGCAGCAGUAGGGAAUCUUCGGCAAUGGGCGAAAGCCUGAUGGAGCAACGCCGCGUGAGUGAUGAAGGUCUUCGGAUCGUAAAACUCUGUUAUUGGGGAAGAACAAAUGUGUAAGUAAAUAUGCACGUCUUGACGGUACCUAAGCAGAAAGCAACGGCUAACUACGUG
rnacentral:rRNA from 1 species